GCGCACUGGCGCGCAGGUCGGCGUGAGCUCCGCUGCUGGCCGGACGCAGCCGACGUGUGCGUUCCAUCGCAAGGUGCGCGC
rnacentral:tRNA from 1 species